rnacentral:piRNA from 1 species
UCCCCCUGUGCCAGAGCACAGCCUCACCGA